GAUGCGAUCAUACCAGCACUAAUGCACCAGAUCCCAUCAGAACUCCGCAGUUAAGCGUGCUUGGGCGAGAGUAGUACUAGGAUAGGGGACCAACCAGAAAGUCCUCGUGGUGCAUCCCACUUUUUCUUUCGGUUUUUCUCUAUUUUGUUUUGUUAAAAAUGUAUGACUCUAUAACGUUUAGACCGUGAGGCAAAACUUGGAAUGUGAUACCUUUUCGGAAAGCCCAAAGAGAGCUCUCCGAUAAAUGAGGAAGGAAAAUGGAAUUCUUCUAUUGGUUUUUUAUUCUACUCCAAAUUUUGACCUUAAUGUACUUUUUUGGUCUUUUUGGUGAUCUUUGCUAUAUGACAGGGCGAAAAUUAUAUGAUCGGACAUUGUUUUCGAAUAUUUUGCAUGUAUCAAAGCUCUUAUAAACAAGAUAGGGUAUUCCUACAUAGCUGGUGGGAGCCACGGCAAAUGGAUCUUAAAGUCUUCAAAAAAAGAAUAGAUACGAUUGCAUUGGAUGUAGUAAACGGAUGCGAUCAUACCAGCACUAAUGCAACGGAUCCCAUCAAAACUCCGCAGUUAAGCGUGCUUGGGCGAGAGUAGUACUAGGCUGGGUGACCUCCCGGACAGUCCUCGUGUUGCAUCCCUCUUUUCUUUUUCGGUUUUUCUCUAUUUUGUUUUGUUAAAAUUGUAUGACUCUAUAACUUUUAGACCGUGACGCCAAACUUCGCAUGUGAUACCUUUUCGGAAAGCCCAAAGAGAGCUCUCCGAUGAAUGAGGAAGGAAAAUGGAAUUCUUCUAUUGGUUUUUUUGCUAUUCCAAAUUUUGACCUUAAUGUACUUUUUUGGUCCUUUUCGUGAUAUUUGCUAUAUUACAGGGCAAAAAUUAUAUGAUCGGACAUUGUUUUCGAAUAUUUUGCAUGUAUCAAAGCUCUUAUAAACAAGAUAUGGUAUUCCUACAUGGCUGGUGUGACCCACGACAAAUGGAUCAUAAAGUCUUAAAAAAAAAGAUAGAUACGAUUGCAUUGCAUGUAGUAAACGGAUGCGAUCAUACCAGCACUAAUGCACCGGAUCCCAUCAAAACUACGCAGUUAAGCGUGCUUGGGCGAGAGUAGUACUAGGCUGGGUGACCUCCCGGAUAGUCCUCGUGUUGCAUCCCUCUUUUCUUUUUCGGUUUUUCUCUAUUUUGUUUUGUUAAAAUUGUAUGACUCUAUAACUUUUAGACCGUGAGGCCAAACUUUGCAUGUGAUACCUUUUCGGAAAGCCCAAAGAGAGCUCUCCGAUGAAUGAGGAAGGAAAAUGGAAUUCUUCUAUUGUUUGUUUUUUCUAUUCCAAAUUUUGACCUUAAUGUACUUUUUCGGGCUUUUUCGUGAUCUUUGCCAUAUUACGGGGCGAAAUUAUAUGUUCGGACAUUGGUUUUGAAUAUUUUGUAUGUAUCAAAGCUCUUAUAAACAAGAUAUGGUAUUCCUACAUGGCUGGCGUGACCCACAGCAAAUGGAUCAUAAAGUCUUCAAAAAAAGAAUAUAUACGAUUGCAUUGCAUGUAGUAACGGAUGCGAUCACACCAGCACUAAUGCACCAGAUCCAAUUAAAACUCCGCAGUUGAGCAUACUUGGGCGAGAGUAGUACUAGGAUGGGUGACCUCCCGGAAAGUCCUCGUGUUGCAUCCCUCUUUUCUUUUUUUUGUUAAAAAUGUACGACUUUAUAACUUUUAGACCAUGAGGCCAAACUUGGAAUGUGAUACCUUUUCGGAAAGCCCAAAGAGAGCUCUCCUAUGAAUGAGGAAAGAAAAUGGAAUUCUUCUAUUGGUUUUUUAUUCUACUCCAAAUUUUGACCUUAAUGUACUUUUUUGGUCUUUUUCGUGAUCUUUGCUAUAUGACAGGGCGAAAAUUAUAUGAUCGGACAUUGUUUUCGAAUAUGUUGCAUGUAUCAAAGCUCUUAUAAACAAGAUAGGGUAUUCCUACAUAGCUGGUGGGAGCCACGGCAAAUGGAUCUUAAAGUCUUCCAAAAAAGAAUAGAUACGAUUGCAUUGCAUGUAGUUAACGGAUGCGAUCAUACCAGCACUAAUGCAACGGAUCCCAUCAAAACUCCGCAGUUAAGCGUACUUGGGCAAGAGUAGUACUAGGAUGGG
rnacentral:lncRNA from 1 species